rnacentral:sRNA from 1 species
AAUGCUUCUUUAUGCCACUCACCUUAUGGGGCUGAUGGAGAGUCCACGUAAAGGAUAACCGUUUCCUCAAAGGAUUUAUGCUGUUUCAUCUCCAUCAAGAAAAGGGCUUUUUAAAGUUAAGGCUUUCAGUCCAGUGUAAAGCUGUUGGAGCGCCGGAGCAAAGGUAAAGAAUGAUGUAAUGCGCUGGCUGCCCCAAAGCAUCUUUUGUUGUGGAAUGGUUAUUCCAGUCAUCUCUUUAUGAAUCAAAUGUGAGGGGCU